rnacentral:other from 1 species
CAAAUCCUGCGGUGUUCGCCUCGGUUAAUCGUUAUUUUGAACCAAUGAUGAUGUCUAGGGAGAUUUAUAUGUAGCGUCGCUGAAAAGCCCUGUCUAUAUGACGAGGGGACUUCAAACACACUUCUGCGAUCACCCACCUGCUACUGCAGGUUCAGAAGACAAUAUAAUCGGACGGCAUAGCGGGUUUUUG